GCGAAAGUUAGCGAUGAUAUUCCUCUUGCAAGAGCACACUUUUUGGAUUCCACAAGUUUGCCAAAAAUAGAGCAUUGCAUACACAAAUUAGGACUAUAACAAAAACUACAUGUACACUAAUUUCAUGUUAUUUUAUACAGUUUUCAACAGGUCAUYUUUUUGCAUCUUUUUUUACAAACGCACACGGUACGGAAAUUAUGUAAUUUAGAAUACCUAUAAAUCUUUUUUAUGCUUUCUAGGAACUUGGAAGUGUAUUUGCUAGGCACGACUAGCUAAAGAUUUUAGUUUCCUAGUAGCACUAUGUCUUCAUUGGGGGCCAUUUCUCCACGCCUCAUCGUAGCAAUCCACGUGAAUCAUGUCUUCCCCUCGUAAUACUUGUUCACCAGUCUCUCUGAGUACUCUCCAAACGUAAGCGCUCCGUUUGGUGGAAUCAACUGACAUGUUCACAAAAAAACUGACAUUAGUAGAACCAAAAAGGAGCGG
rnacentral:lncRNA from 1 species